GUUGAUUAUAUUGUUCGCUCUUAUUUUCUUACUAGGUUGUAGUCUCCAGGAGUAAUAAUUUAUAUUCCUGAUUUCCUCAGUGAAAUGUGGACAUAAUUGAUGCCUGUUCAAAAAAUUUUCUUACCAUAGAAUUUUAGCCAAUUUUGUAUUUUCUGAAGUGUGGGAGUAUCAAAUGAUGCUGAAGAAAUAUCUGGUACAAAGAACUGAAUUUGACUUAAAUUAUUGGGGGGGUAGGGGAGCCAAAAAGCACUUUAUAAGUUACUUAAAUAGGAGUUGAGGUUAAGAAACAAAGUUGAAAUUUGAAACCUGAAAGUAAAAUUGAUUGCCAACCUAAGGAUAGGAUGUAAGUAACAUUUUGCAAAGAACGUUGGUGACCAUAUUAGUUUUUAAAGUCAUACCUACCUAGAGUUUUGAUCUUCAUCAAGUAUGAAUGUUUUUGCCCUAUCUCCAAAAUAUGUAGGAUUUUUUACACUCUAGCUUUUAAUUGAAACCUGCAAAGUAAAGUGAAAAUAGUUUUCAAUCAAGUGGUUGGAAUAUUUGGUAGUACUUGCUAAUAUUUUUUGUUGGUAAUAGAUGUCAUUUAAUAGCAGGAAUUUUUUAGUUACAUAUUAAAUUUUAAGCAGGUUUCAGGUCAAACCUUUAAAUAUUCAACCCUCAGUAGAUAGUGUGAAUUCCAAUGUGUUCUUUCCUUCAUUUACUUACCAUAUAUCCUGCCCAGUAUCUGCAUAUACAAGCUUAUUUGGUCAUCACGAGAUCAAGU
rnacentral:lncRNA from 1 species